GAUGAACGCUGGCGGCGUGCCUAACACAUGCAAGUCGAACGGAGAUUACGGACGGAAGUUUUCGGAUGGAAGACUGUAAUUCUUAGUGGCGGACGGGUGAGUAACGCGUGGGCAACCUACCCUAUACAGGGGGAUAGCAGCUGGAAACGGCUGGUAAGACCGCAUAAGUCGGCGAGACCGCAUGGUUUUGCCGGGAAAUGAGCAAUCAGGUAUAGGAUGGGCCCGCGUCCGAUUAGCCAGUUGGCAGGGUAAAAGCCUACCAAAGCAACGAUCGGUAGCCGGACUGAGAGGUCGGACGGCCACAUUGGGACUGAGACACGGCCCAAACUCCUACGGGAGGCAGCAGUGGGGGAUAUUGCACAAUGGAGGAAACUCUGAUGCAGCGACGCCGCGUGAGUGAAGAAGUAUUUCGGUAUGUAAAGCUCUAUCAGCAGGGAAGAUGAUGACGGUACCUGACUAAGAAGCCCCGGCUAACUACGUG
rnacentral:rRNA from 1 species